GCGGAGGAAAAGAAACUAACAAGGAUUCCCCUAGUAACGGCGAGUGAAGCGGGAUGAGCUCAAAUUUGUAAUCUGGUGGACUCAGUUCAUCCGAGUUGUAAUCUAUAGAAGUGUUUUCCGCGCUGGACCGUGUCUAAGUCCCUUGGAACAGGGUGUCAGAGAGGGUGAGAAUCCCGUGCUUGAUACGAUCACCAGUGCUAUGUGAUACACUUUCAACGAGUCGAGUUGUUUGGGAAUGCAGCUCAAAAUGGGUGGUAAAUUCCAUCUAAAGCUAAAUAUUGGCGAGAGACCGAUAGCGAACAAGUACCGUGAGGGAAAGAUGAAAAGCACUUUGGAAAGAGAGUUAAACAGUACGUGAAAUUGUUAAAAGGGAAACGAUUGAAGUCAGUCGUGCUCUCUGGGACUCAGCCGGUUCUUCCGGUGUACUUCCCAGUGAGCGGGUCAACAUCAGUUUAGAUCGCUGGAUAAAGGUAUUAGGAAGGUGGCUCCCUCGGGAGUGUUAUAGCCUAGUAUCGUAUACAGUGGUUUAGACUGAGGAACGCAGCUCGCCUUUAUGGCCGGGGUUCGCCCACGUCCGAGCUUAGGAUGUUGACAUAAUGGCUUUAAACGACCCGUCUU
rnacentral:rRNA from 1 species